GCCGGUUCAGGCAUGUCAGAAGCAGACGUAGGGCAAUCUCUGUACGGACCUCCAGGAACGAAUAGGAUCUACACCAUAGUAUUGAUGCAGUAGUUUCUGUUGCAAAAUGUGUCCUAAAAAGUACUAACAUUUACGGUUUACAAUACCAAGUAACUGAGCUCAUGCUUUCACCUCUCUACUAAUAACUAACAACUAAUCUAAACCAG
rnacentral:lncRNA from 1 species